rnacentral:rRNA from 1 species
UGGUUUGUCGCGUUGUUCGUGAAAUCUCACGGCUUAACUGUGAGCGUGCGGGCGAUACGGGCAGACUUGAGUACUGCAGGGGAGACUGGAAUUCCUGGUGUAGCGGUGGAAUGCGCAGAUAUCAGGAGGAACACCGGUGGCGAAGGCGGGUCUCUGGGCAGUAACUGACGCUGAGGAGCGAAAGCGUGGGGAGCGAACAGGAUUAGAUACCCUGGUAGUCCACGCCGUAAACGGUGGGUACUAGGUGUGGGUUUCCUUCCUUGGGAUCCGUGCCGUAGCUAACGCAUUAAGUACCCCGCCUGGGGAGUACGGCCGCAAGGCUAAAACUCAAAGAAAUUGACGGGGGCCCGCACAAGCGGCGGAGCAUGUGGAUUAAUUCGAUGCAACGCGAAGAACCUUACCUGGGUUUGACAUGCACAGGACGCCGGCAGAGAUGUCGGUUCCCUUGUGGCCUGUGUGCAGGUGGUGCAUGGCUGUCGUCAGCUCGUGUCGUGAGAUGUUGGGUUAAGUCCCGCAACGAGCGCAACCCUUGUCUCAUGUUGCCAGCGGGUAAUGCCGGGGACUCGUGAGAGACUGCCGGGGUCAACUCGGAGGAAGGUGGGGAUGACGUCAAGUCAUCAUGCCCCUUAUGUCCAGGGCUUCACACAUGCUACAAUGGCCGGUACAAAGGGCUGCGAUGCCGCGAGGUUAAGCGAAUCCUUUUAAAGCCGGUCUCAGUUCGGAUCGGGGUCUGCAACUCGACCCCGUGAAGUC